AUGGCCGGUCGUUUGCUAGGCGGCAGGUCCCGGGCCCUGGACUUACUCCGGGACCUGCCGCGUGUGAGCCUGGCGAACUUAAAGCCGAAUCCCAGCUCCAGGAAACCGGAGAGGCGACCGAGAGGUCGGAGAAGAGGUAGAAAAUGUGGCAGAGCCCACAAAGGAGAAAUACAAAGAGGAACCCGGCCUCACCUGGGCUUUGAGGGAGGCCAGACUCCAUUUUACAUCUGAAUCCCAAAAUACGGGUUUAACGAAGGACAUAGCUUCAGAUGCCAGUAUAAGCCUUUGAGUCUCAAUAGACUGCAGUGUCUUAUUGAUUUGGGUCGUGUUGAUCCUACUCAACCUAUUAACACAGCUUGUCAAUGGGAGAGGUGUGACCAUCCAGCCACUUAAAAGAGAUUAUGGUGUCCAGCUGGUCGAGGAGGGUGCAGACACCUUUACAGCAAAAGUUAAUAUUGAAGUUCAGUUGGCUUCAGAACUAGCUACUGCUACAAUUGAAAAAAAUGGUGGUGGUGUUACUACAGCUUUCUAUGAUCCAAGAAGUCUGGACAUUGUAUGCAAACCAGUUCCAUUCUUUCUUCGUGGACAACCCAUUCCAAAAAGAAUGCUUCCACCAGAAGAGCUGGUACCGUAUUACACCGAUGCAAAGAAUCGUGGGUACCGGGCAGAUCCUUCCAAAUUUCCUGAAGCGCAACUUGAACUUGCCAGGAAGUACGGCUACAUCUUACCCGAUAUCACUAAAGAUGAACUCUUCAAAAUGCUCUGUAUGAGGAAGGAUCCAAGUCAGAUUUUCUUUGGUCUUGCUCCAGGAUGGAUGGUGAAUAUGGCCGAUAAGAAAAUCCUAAAACCUACAGAUGAAAAUCUCCUUAAGUAUUACAGCUCAUGAAUUCCCAUUCGAGAAAGCAAAGUUGUUAAGGAGAGCUGGAAUAGGGACCGAAAGAUGUGUAUUUGUCAUUGCAUUUUCAUUAUGUAUAACUUUCCAGAUGAUGAUGUUACUUUUCAGUGUACUCAGAUCUCUCAUUUUCAUUUAAAAUUAAAAUGGCAGGAAACAAGGA